CUCCCUCCUCCCUCUCCUCCCUUCCCCUCCCCUCCCGGUGCCCGGGGACACCCGGGCCCAGCUCCAGCCCGCAACCCAGACCCCACGCGCACUCGGCUCCCGCCCUAACCCUGGGGGCUCGGCUCCAACCGAAUAAUGUAUUCACUCUGCAACCUUCUGAGAUGUCUUGUCUUUUUUUAUUUGGUUUAGUUUUGUUGUGUGUGCGUGUGAUUAAAAAAAAAAAAAAACUGUGCCUUUCCCACCCUUUGCAAAAGACUUUCUUCUCUUUUGCCACAGCAAACGGAGAUGAGAAACAGAUGUCUGUGCAGGACCAAGCAGUUAUUCUCCUCUCGCCGCCCGCCCCCGCCCGUUCCCCUCCUGAGCUGCAUAUGUAUAAAAAAGCAACCUAGGUCCUGCUGCAACUUGAAUUGGCAACUCUUUCUGGGUGGGGAUUCUCUGGUGAAAACCUCCAGGGGAAAAAAAAGUAAUAAAGGAAGCUAUCCUUGGUCAAAAGAAUGUAAUUUAAGCUCCAGAAUCACACUAUUUUGCAAAUAGUGGUUUCCCCUAUAUUGGUCUCAAUUGGAGUUUGUAUUUUUGAAACAUUAAUUCAUAACUUGUGUCUAGGGACCCCUCCAUAGUUAAGAUGGGUCAUUUCAGGUGUAAUGAAUGCAGGGGCUUGGAAUGCAUACACCUAAUAAAAUCGGGGGUGGAGGAGGCACCUGCACAAAAGUGUUACAAGGACUAUCGUGUUUGUUUACUGCUACUAUGCCAGAUGUGCUAAAUAUAACACUUCUUUAAAACAGUGAUCCUCCAACUGUGAAAAGCCAGACCUCUGGCUGCCUGACUCCCUAGGAAUCAGGGAGAUGCACAGACUGAAAAUCGGGGAGGAAAGGAACAAGAUCAAGGAUGAGGAUUAGCAUCUGCAAAUUGAACUCUAUCUAAUUUGCAUGUUUAUUUCUUAGAAUUGUAAUUAAAUUUGUGUAAUAAAUGUUUUCCAUUUCAUUUAUAUACUUAAAAUUUGGGUGACUGACAUGCAGUUAAGUGAAUUUCCUUUUUCCUUUUAAAAGAAAAUGUGGUUUAUUCAAUAAAGCAGCAAACAAAUAUUAAGCAUAAUUAGAACUAAUCUGUUUUGAAGGUGUUUUUGUUGAACUUUGUACAUUAAAGACACUCAGAGGUUUCAGGGGUAUUAGGAAGCCUGGAGGAGGCAAUUAUGCUGAAAACAGACUAACCCAACAGACUAUCAGGAGCAUUAUUUCAUUUUUUCCACAAGACAUUCCAGGGUUGGAUGCCUAGAAUUGGGAACCGGCACCCGUCUUGGCUUUAUUUGAAAACUAUAUCAAAUUGCAUUGGCUGAUGCAUGAUGCAGGUUAUUACAAUGAUGAUUUAAGAAUUGUAAAAAUGCCACUUAUUUAUUUAUUUAUUUGCAAUCAAUGAGAGUUGUAGUCCAGGUUAAAGGUAGAAUAUAAUUUCCAUUUGGGUCAGGGAGGAGGGCAAGGAAAGGCACAAGGGCAUCCAAAGCAGUGUAAGUACUUGAGAAUUCUAAAUCCGUAUGUAAAACUGGUUAUCCUCUAACUCCAAUGAACUAAAUGUGAGGGCUUGGAGGCAUGGCUUAUUAUUGUUUUUAUCUCUCUGUAUUAAAGUUUUAUAGCAUUUAAAGGACUAUGGGGAAAUCCACACACACACUUGGCUGUGUCAAAAUACAUAAAACCAAAAGGAGCAAAUUAAGCAUAAAAUUGAGAAAUAACAUGAGACUAAGAAUCAGCAUGGGUUGCAUUGGCAUCUUUGGAGCUUUGCUUUGUCUCUGAGAAAUGAGCCUUCUGGGAAAUUGGCAUUGCCCUUGGGUGAAGAGGACUCUUGGCUUUUAGUGGUACAACAAAAUGACAUCACAACACAAGAAUCAAAUCAUUAUGCUUCCCAGUACCCUUGCGGCUCUGGGUGUGAACCUGACCCUGUUUCCUUCAGAUAUGUCAGGCUAGCAUGUCCUACUGCCGGCUUUCCUUGCCUACUUUUAAUCUCAAGUUUAUUGUUUUCUGAGAUUCAGUGCCCAACUGUUGACAAUGUGAACCUGUGUCUACAAGUAGAAAAGGCAGCCAUAUGUCUAUGGAAUGAGAAACAUCAUUUAAAAAUUUAAACAUUUCAAGACCUGAGGAUACUACCAACGUCCUUAGCACCCAAUGGUCUCAUGCUGCCCUGCCUGCCGGAGAGUCUCCAAUACGAUGUCAUCAAGUGGGUGCUGGUGCUCUGGACCAGCCCUCCUUUCUCCCAACUCAGAUUUCCAUCAUCACCCAGAUGCUUCUUCUAAGCUACAAUCUUAGACAAAAUUACAAAGUUUCAACCUUGCUCCUAGGCUUUUAUUUGAUCCCCGGAUGGCCUGCCUGUUACAGCAGUGUACAUAACCAUGAACACUACUUGGAAGAAGGACCAUCUUGAGAAGCAGGAAGUUUUCAAAGCAGACCCUGACAUGUUCUCAUUUGGUAGUUUCCAUUCUUAAUACAUUUUACUUUGUUUUGCUCUGAGUGACUUGGCUUUGGAUGGAAAACAAAGUUUCAUUGCCUGCAUCAGAGGAACUCAGUGGAGGUGGUCUGAACACCAUGGAGAAGUUGCUUUGCUCUGCAGCACGUUUCCCUGUGGUUGUGAGCGACCAGCAUGCUGUGCUGGCUCCUCUCACUGAAGCACUGUGUCUCUCAGUCAAGGAAAAGGCUUAGUAGGCAGAGUUGGAAAUGACAGACUAUUUUUAACACGAGCUUUCUAUCCCACAGCUCUGGUUCCUACUUCUAUUAUCAUUACUUAUUCAUAGACUUUUAUUCCCAAAUAUCAUUACCCUUUACCGUAAUAGGAUCAGCAAAGCAACCACUUAAAACAAAACAAACAGAUGCAGGAAUCCAAGUCCUGUAGUGGUCCUGUUUUCUCCACUGUGCCUGCUCCCUGCCUCUCCCUGACUACCUAGGGGAGAAGUUGAUUUUAUCAGUCGCUAAGCAGCUUGGCUGCUUCAGAAAUGCCAGAGUAACAAAGGGACUUGGCACCAGAAAAGGUGUGAAGGCACCAGCAGUCUAGGAAAACAGGAGGGAGGUAACAAAAUCUAAGAAAAAAAAAAAAAAAAACAAGGGAGGAAG